rnacentral:rRNA from 1 species
AGUGAACGCUGGCGGUAGGCCUAACACAUGCAAGUCGAACGGCAGCACAGUAAGAGCUUGCUCUUACGGGUGGCGAGUGGCGGACGGGUGAGGAAUACAUCGGAAUCUACUUUUUCGUGGGGGAUAACGUAGGGAAACUUACGCUAAUACCUCAUACGACCUACGGGUGAAAGCAGGGGAUCUUCGGACCUUGCGCGAUUGAAUGAGCCGAUGUCGGAUUAGCUAGUUGGCGGGGUAAAGGCCCACCAAGGCGACGAUCCGUAGCUGGUCUGAGAGGAUGAUCAGCCACACUGGAACUGAGACACGGUCCAGACUCCUACGGGAGGCAGCAGUGGGGAAUAUUGGACAAUGGGCGCAAGCCUGAUCCAGCCAUACCGCGUGGGUGAAGAAGGCCUUCGGGUUGUAAAGCCCUUUUGUUGGGAAAGAAAAGCAGCAGGUUAAUACCCCGCUGUUCUGACGGUACCCAAAGAAUAAGCACCGGCUAACUUCGCG